rfam:Gossypium raimondii chromosome 11, whole genome shotgun sequence.
ACUUGGUGGUGAGGAUAUUUCUUUUGCAUGUCCUUAGAACGUUCGCAUGCCUCAUGUAAAGUUUCCUCUUCAUAUUGCUAGAAACUAGUAAUGUUAUUCCGCAAUUU